CCACCUCAAUCCUGACUCCUGCUGCCACACCUUCAUGGUGCUGCACUGCUCUCUAUUAUGAAGCCGUGCCUCUAGUGGUCAACUCAAGAGGCUCCCCUAUCAUUCAUCAAAGCCAAAAGCUGCAGCAGAGUUGCCCACGACAGGGCCAUCUUCCUAGCCAGCCCCAGCAAUGGUCUCUGCCUGCCUGUACCUCUCCCUCCCCGCUGUGGCAGGCGGGCCUAGUGAGGCUGUGCAGUUUACUGUCACCAGCAAAGGACAAGGGGAGGAGUUUCCCAUAGGUGGCCCAGUCCAUAGGUCUCUCUCUCUCUCUCUCCCCUCCCCUCUCCUUCUGACCCCCCCCCCCACUGUCAGGUUGUGUUAUUCUCAGUUUGUCUGUAUUAAUAUUUAUUUAUUUUCAGAUGUUAUUUAUUAGAUUGUAUUUAUUGCAGAAUUUCUAUUCUUGUAUUAACAAAUAAAAGGCUUUCUCCAGGA